rnacentral:misc_RNA from 1 species
CGCUGCUCUACUACCGAGCGCGAUAAUAUCAGCCUCGGGCCUUGGAACUUGUCUUGUUUACCAAGCAAAGACGACUCGACAGUGCGAUCGAGCGGAAACAGCUGAACAACGGUGUAAGAGGGUUGCUGAACGUCAAUUUACCGUGCCAGAAGGUUUCGCUCCCCUUUUGUACAACCUAACCCAGGGCCUAAUCUACCUCAAGUGAUGCACGUUAAGAACAAAAUCGAUCGUUCCCGCACGCGUGCGUGCGACCACGCACAGAUUUUUUCUUCGAGACGCAGAAGAACAACAACAUACUAAUGUGUUUAAUACGCAUGCCACAGAUAAAAAGUUCGUUAAGGCGCCAUGAUGCAUCGCGUUGAGGACGAGUAGAGCAAGAAACUACUAAUAUAAUAUUGCCGAUUUUGCUCUGUCCACAACCCAUCCUGCUCUGUUGCUCGGACGGCGCUCACACUGAACUUCACUUCCCACUAAUAGUAAGUUCGAAUACUUUCCAAUUUUCUUUAUCAAUUUCCGUAAACGUUACGAUCAAGACAAUGAUGUUUUCUCUGACUUUAACUCGAUGGAAAAUUGUUCAAAGGCAAAAUUUCUUCUUUUAGGCAGCGAAGAAACUUGUUCACGUAUACAUACAAAUACAUACAUAUAUAUAUAUUUUUCUACACGUAUGUGUAUGUAUAUACGUAUACACAAAGCAGAUAGAUUGUUAAUCACACGAGAUCUCAAAAGAUAUGUAGAUACAACAGUAAACACGAAUGAUAAUGUCUAAAGGAGUUAAUGAAUUCAGUCUUUUCAUGAGCCACUGAUUUUCCUCUUACAUUCAACUAACGCUACCAACUUGAAUGGCAAACUUUUUUGAAUGAAUUGAUUUUCAAUACGUUCAGUCUUUGUAACCGACUCGAAGACGGCAGAGAGAAAGGGAGAGCGAGGGAAAAAGAUGAUAAAACAGUCUUUGAAGGAAUUCACCGCAACACGGUUCUGUGUCUCCUCGUGACGAAAUCUGUUCUUCCGGAAAAAAUUAGCUAUCGGGGCUCGUUUUGCCCCGGUGGCCGUGGACUUUGUCGUCUCUGGCUACCUGAGCCGAGUCACCCAAUCCAUGUUGCGUUCCUAUUUCCUUCUACCACCCCAUCAUUCGUUAUCUAUCAUCUAUCCCAUGUCCAAAGGAGCCAGCGGUGCAUCCUCCCGAUCUGUCGUCCUAUACAUUCGUUCCCUCGUCACUGGUUGUUGCCCCGGAA